rnacentral:rRNA from 1 species
AGAGUUUGAUCCUGGCUCAGAUUGAACGCUGGCGGCGUGCUUAACACAUGCAAGUCGUGCGAGAAAGGGGACUUCGGUCCCUGAGUAGAGCGGCGCACGGGUGAGUAACGCGUGGGUGAUCUACCCGGAAGUCUGGGAUAACGGUGGGAAACUGCCGCUAAUACCGGUUAAUCUUCCAAUUCGAAUUGGAGGGAAAGACGGCCUCUGCUUGCAAGCUGUCGCUUUCGGAUGAGCCCGCGUCCCAUUAGCUCGUUGGCGGGGUAACGGCCCACCAAGGCAACGAUGGGUAGCUGGUCUGAGAGGAUGAUCAGCCACACUGGGACUGGAACACGGCCCAGACUCCUACGGGAGGCAGCAGUGGGGAAUAUUGCGCAAUGGGGGAAACCCUGACGCAGCGACGCCGUGUGAGGGAAGAAGGCCUUCGGGUCGUAAACCUCUGUCGGGAGGGAAGAACCGCCGGGUUCCGAACAGGGACUCGGCCUGACGGUACCUCCGAAGGAAGCGCCGGCUAACUCCGUGCCAGCAGCCGCGGUAAUACGGAGGGCGCAAGCGUUAAUCGGAAUCACUGGGCGUAAAGCGCGCGUAGGCGGCCAGAUAAGUCGGGCGUGAAAGCCCUCGGCUCAACCGAGGAACUGCGUUCGAUACUGUUUGGCUUGAGUCCUGGAGAGGGUGGCGGAAUUCCGGGUGUAGGAGUGAAAUCCGUAGAUAUCCGGAGGAACACCGGUGGCGAAGGCGGCCACCUGGACAGGUACUGACGCUGAGGUGCGAAAGCGUGGGGAGCAAACCAGGAUUAGAUACCCUGGUAGUCCACGCUGUAAAC